CAACAGCUAGAGUUUGAUCCUGGCUCAGAACGAACGCUGGCGGCGCGUCUUAAGCAUGCAAGUCGAGCGGCAAGGGUAGCAAUACCCCUAGAGCGGCGGACUGGUGAGUAACACGUGGGUGACCUACCCUUAGGUUGGGGAUAGCCGGUAGAAAUACCGGGUAAUACCGAAUGUGGUUGCGGGGCUCUGGCCUUGCAAAGAAAGGAGCUACGGCUCCGCCUGAGGAUGGGCCCGCGUCCCAUUAGCUAGUUGGGGUGUAACGGACCACCAAGGCGAUGAUGGGUAGCCGGCCUGAGAGGGUGAACGGCCACACUGGGACUGAGAUACGGCCCAGACUCCUACGGGAGGCAGCAGCUAAGAAUAUUCCGCAAUGGACGAAAGUCUGACGGAGCGACGCCGCGUGGAUGAUGAAGGCCGAAAGGUUGUAAAGUCCUUUUGUCGACGAAGAAUAAGUGUGGGAGGGAAUGCCCGCAUGAUGACGUUAGUCGGCGAAUAAGCCCCGGCUAAAUUACGUGCC
rnacentral:rRNA from 1 species